GAAACAUUUUAUUUUUUUGGAAAGUUUUACUUCUAGCUCUCCUUAAAGGUAAAAUUAGUAAGAUAAAACAAAAUCCGCGCUAUCAGAAAAAGGAU